UGCAUAAACGUGUGCAUACGUUAUUGCAAAUCUGGGAGAAAUGCUCUUUCUUAAACAUUCAAGUAUCUUGGAUAUUGAACUCAGUUGGACCUGCCUAUCUGUCAUCUUGCUAUCGCACACUCUGGUGAAGAGUCUGAUUCCAUCUUCUCCAUAUACUUCAAGUAUUAAAUUCCCUCAAAGCUGUCUCUUCUACAGACUGAAUAUGCCUUAGACAUUCAGCCUCUCUUCACAGGGGCUCUAUGUGUGCAUGCCUGGAAGGCUGAGUGCUGAGCAAGUUUACCAUGAUCUCAAGGGAAGAAAAAGGUGAAUUUAUUGAAAAUAAAUAACUAGUGUGUAAGUAUAGCAGAGUGGUUUUCUGCUGACUAAAAGAGUUAAUUGUCAACUAGAAAAAUGUCCUUAAUGAAGAAGUAAGGUCACCUGAACCAAUAAGAUCCAAUAUUUGCAUUUGGAGGGGAUAGAAAAAAGUUGUAA